GGACGAACGCUGGCGGCGUGCUUAACACAUGCAAGUCGAACGGAAAGGCCCUGCUUUUGUGGGGUGCUCGAGUGGCGAACGGGUGAGUAACACGUGAGUAACCUGCCCUUGACUUUGGGAUAACUUCAGGAAACUGGGGCUAAUACCGGAUAGGAGCUCCUGCUGCAUGGUGGGGGUUGGAAAGUUUCGGCGGUUGGGGAUGGACUCGCGGCUUAUCAGCUUGUUGGUGGGGUAGUGGCUUACCAAGGCUUUGACGGGUAGCCGGCCUGAGAGGGUGACCGGCCACAUUGGGACUGAGAUACGGCCCAGACUCCUACGGGAGGCAGCAGUGGGGAAUAUUGCGCAAUGGGCGGAAGCCUGAUGCAGCAACGCCGCGUGCGGGAUGACGGCCUUCGGGUUGUAAACCGCUUUCGCCUGUGACGAAGCGUGAGUGACGGUAAUGGGUAAAGAAGCACCGGCUAACUACGUG
rnacentral:rRNA from 1 species